rnacentral:lncRNA from 1 species
CUAUCCAGUGUCAAAAGAGUUCAAUAUAAAAUUAAAUGAAGUUGUAGCAUUGUCAAAAGGGUUCAAUAUAAAAUUAAAUGAAGUUGUAGUAUUGUGUAAUCUAAUGCAUAUCAGUCUAAAAUAUGGCUUCAUCUUGAUUAUCAUAGAUUGAGCUUUAGACUUAAACUACUUCUAUCAUGUUUUCCAUUGAGAAAGCCUUGCAACACCACUUGAAUUAUCUUAAUUAGAGCUAAGAUAGAUAAGGAAGUUAUGGGUAAAAUAUUGAAUUAGUAUCAGUGCAAUCUAGGUGCAAAAAUUAGAUAGCAAGGUGUCAACUAUCAGAUAAUCAGAAAGUAGUUCCAAUGCUGUCCAAUUAAUUUGGAAAGCACUAACCAUAUAAUUUAAUCUAAGUGGAUUUUCAAAUAUCUCUGAAGUCAGAUCAGGAUAGGUCCAAGUCAAUUUGAUGUCAAUUAGUAUGCCACUAGAGAUCAACUUGAAUGGCAGUUAGUAUGUUGUUAGAUCAACUUAGAUAGAAAUAAGUAUGCUAUCGAAUUUGUUUUGCUUCUAGAAGCAUCCACACAAUGAGUCUUAUCUAGGUGGUCUUAGGAUUUCUUUUUUGAGUUUUUCCUGAAUAAUGAGGACAGCUUGUUGACCUUAUCAACUGUAAGCUGUCUUAGAGCCUCUAAAUACCCUGUGUGUGGCCCCUCUUAUUAUCAAUAAAAAAAACUUGUUUAUUUAGGGACAACUCUUCACAUUUUGCCUUGCAUGGUGGGUUUCAUUCAAGCUUUAGUUGAUUAUGGGGACAACGGUGAGCCCAAUUAGUGGAAUGGUCAUGGCAUGCAAUGAUGGUGUAAGUUGGUAUGUCUUCAAUGAUAAUGGAGCCCUUUGAUAGUAAGGCAACAAGUUACUAGCUAUAUUUUAGUAUGAAUUUGUAUUAUAGCCUUUUAAAUUUUGAAAUAAUUCCUCCACUUUAUAAGUUCUAGGUUUAGAUUAAAUGUCAUAUGGUAUAAUUAAUUCUCAAAUUAUUCUUUCAU